rnacentral:rRNA from 1 species
CCUACGGGAGGCUGCAGUGAGGAAUAUUGGUCAAUGGGCGGAAGCCUGAACCAGCCAAGUAGCGUGCAUGAUGAAGGCCCUACGGGUUGUAAGCUGCUUUUAUACGGGAAUAACGCGCCUUACGUGUAGGGCUUUGCAUGUACCGUAUGAAUAAGGACCGGCUAAUUCCGUGCCAGCAGCCGCGGUAAUACGGAGGGUUCGGGCGUUGUCCGGAUUUGUUGGGUGUAAGGGGAGCGUAGGCGGUGUGUCAAGCGUGCGGUGAAAUGUCCGGGCUCAACCCGGGCACUGCAGCGCAAACUGGCGGGCUUGAGUCCGCGGAAGGCAGGCGGAAU